rnacentral:rRNA from 1 species
CACAAGCGGUGGAUGAUGUGGUUUAAUUCGAUGCAACGCGAAAACCUUACCACCUUUGACAUGUACGGAAUCCUUUAGAGAUAGAGGAGUGCUCGAAAGAGAGCCGUUAACACAGGUGCUGCAUGGCUGUCGUCAGCUCGUGUCGUGAGAUGUUGGGUUAAGUCCCGCAACGAGCGCAACCCUUGUCAUUAGUUGCUACAUUCAGUUGGGCACUCUAAUGAGACUGCCGGUGACAAACCGGAGGAAGGUGGGGAUGACGUCAAGUCCUCAUGGCCCUUAUAGGUGGGGCUACACACGUCAUACAAUGGAUGGUACAAAGGGUCGCCAACCCGCGAGGGGGAGCCAAUCCCAUAAAGCCAUUCGUAGUCCGGAUCGCAGUCUGCAACUCGACUGCGUGAAGUCGGAAUCGCUAGUAAUCGUGGAUCAGAAUGUCACGGUGAAUACGUUCCCGGGUCUU